UACGGAGGGAGCUAGCGUUGUUCGGAUUCACUGGGCGUAAAGGGUGCGCAGGUGGGUUGGCAAGUUCGAUGUGAAAGCCCCGGGCUUAACCCGGGAAUGGCAUUGGAAACUGCUGAUCUGGAGGAUCGGAGGGGGACUGGAAUUCUUGGUGUAGCAGUGAAAUGCGUAGAUAUCAAGAGGAACACCAGUGGCGAAGGCGAGUCCCUGGACGAUACCUGACACUGAGGCACGAAAGCCAAGGGAGCG
rnacentral:rRNA from 1 species